rnacentral:rRNA from 1 species
UAGGGAAUCUUCGGCAAUGGGCGAAAGCCUGACCGAGCAACGCCGCGUGAGCGAUGAAGGCCUUCGGGUCGUAAAGCUCUGUUGUUAGAGAAGAACAAGUACGAGAGUAACUGCUCGUACCUUGACGGUACCUAACCAGAAAGCCACGGCUAACUACGUGCCAGCAGCCGCGGUAAUACGUAGGUGGCAAGCGUUAUCCGGAAUUAUUGGGCGUAAAGCGCGCGCAGGCGGUCUCUUAAGUCUGAUGUGAAAGCCCACGGCUCAACCGUGGAGGGUCAUUGGAAACUGGGAGACUUGAGUGCAGGAGAGAAAAGUGGAAUUCCACGUGUAGCGGUGAAAUGCGUAGAGAUGUGGAGGAACACCAGUGGCGAAGGCGGCUUUUGGUCCUGUAACUGACGCUGAGGCGCGAAAGCGUGGGGAGCAAACAGGAUUAGAUACCCUGGUAGUCCACGCCGUAACGAUGAGUGCUAGGUGUUGGGGGGUUCC